GAGCACGAGCCGGAAAUGGAAAAGCCGGUACAAGCGUAUAGCAGUCCUGCAGGCAAAACCGCAUGAAAAAUGUAAAGCGUUAUGUGGAUCGAACAUUAGUAGAGAAGCGUGUGAGCCAGCUGCCAAGAAAAGCCGCUAUUGUUUCAUAAGUACCCGUACCGUAAACCGACACAGGUGGAUGAGGAGAGAAUCCUAAGGCCGGCGGGAGAAGUGUUGUUAAGGAACUCGGCAAAAUGACUCCGUAACUUCGGGAGAAGGAGUGCCACAGAGAUGUGGCCGCAGAGAAAUGGCCCAAGCAACUGUUUAGCAAAAACACAGGUCUAUGCAAAACCGAAAGGUGAGGUAUAUGGGCUGACGCCUGCCCGGUGCUGGAAGGUUAAGAGGAGAGGUUAGAGCAAUCGAAGCUUUGAAUUUAAGCCCCAGUAAACGGCGGCCGUAACUAUAACGGUCCUAAGGUAGCGAAAUUCCUUGUCGGGUAAGUUCCGACCCGCACGAAAGGCGUAAUGAUUUGGGCACUGUCUCAACAACACACCCGGUGAAAUUGAAAUACCAGUGAAGAUGCUGGUUACCUGCGCCAGGACGGAAAGACCCCAUGGAGCUUUACCCCAGUUUGAUACUGGGAUUCGGUACUGUCUGUACAGGAUAGGUGGGAGGCUAGGAAAUGGUGACGCCAGUUGCCAUGGAGCCAACCUUGGGAUACCACCCUUACAGUACUGGGUUUCUAACCUGCAGCCGUAACCCGGCUGGGGGACAAUGUCUGACGGGGAGUUUGACUGGGGCGGUCGCCUCCGAAAGAGUAUCGGAGGCGCUCAAAGGUUCCCUCAGAACGGUUGGAAACCGUUCGAAGAGUGCAAAGGCAGAAGGGAGCUUGACUGCGACACCGACGGGUGGAGCAGAUACGAAAGUAGGACUUAGUGAUCCGGUGGUAUAAAGUGGGAUCGCCAUCGCUCAACGGAUAAAAGCUACCCUGGGAUAACAGGCUUAUCACUCCCAAGAGUUCACAUCGACGGAGUGGUUUGGCACCUCGAUGUCGGCUCAUCGCAUCCUGGAGCUGUAGCAGGUUCCAAGGGUUGGGCUGUUCGCCCAUUAAAGCGGUACGCGAGCUGGGUUCAGAACGUCGUGAGACAGUUCGGUCCCUAUCCGGCGUGGCCGUAGGAUAUUUGAGAGGAGCUGUCCUUAGUACGAGAGGACCGGGAUGGACAAACCUCUGGUGUAUCUGUUGUUUUACCAAAGGCAUGGCAGAGUAGCCAAGUUUGGCAGGGAUAAACGCUGAAGGCAUCUAAGCGUGAAGCCCCCCUCAAGAUAAGAUAUCCCAUCUUCGGAGUAAGACCCCUUGAAGACUACAAGGUUGAUAGGCUUCAGGUGUAAGUGUGGUAACGCACUCAGCUGAGAAGUACUAAUAGGUCGAGGACUUAUC
rnacentral:rRNA from 1 species